rnacentral:rRNA from 1 species
GAUGAACGCUAGCGGCAGGCUUAAUACAUGCAAGUUGAGGGGCAGCAUGAUAUACGCGAGUAUAUUGAUGGCGACCGGCGGACGGGUGAGUAAUAGGUAGGAGACCUACCUCAUACAGGGGGAUAGCAUAGAGAAAUCUGUGGUAAUACCCCAUGAGGUUAUAUGAAUAGAGGCAUAUAAUCAAAGCAUAAGCGAUUAUGCGGUAUGAGAGGGGCCUACUGACCAUUAGCUAGUUGGUGAGGUAAGGGCUCACCAAGGCGAAGAUGGUUAGGGGUUUUGAGAGAGAGACCCCCCACAUUGGAACUGAGAGACGGUCCAGACUCUUACGGGAGGCAGCAGUAGGGAAUAUUGGGCAAUGGGCGAAAGCCUGACCCAGCCAUGCCGCGUGAAGGAAGACGGCCUUAUGGGUUGUAAACUUCUUUACUACGCGAAUAGAGGUUAGUACGAGAUACUAAUAGGAAGGUAGUGUAGUAAAAGCACCGGCUAACUCCGUGCC